GUACAACUCUCGUUCAAUUUGGUGAACGUUCCUCGAUAUUCACCAUUUUUUUUUCAAUCAUCGACCAACGACAUGUACCCGGCGGGUAUUAUUCUGUUUUUUCUGGCCGUUGGACACCCUUGCUUCUGCAAUGGAAAGGCGCCCGUGGCCGACGAUCCUAUUUUACAGCACUUUCGAUUGGACCCUGGAACAAAGUACCAAGUAUUGGGAGAGGAUUUCAUCCAACAUUUGCGUACGAGUUCAUUAUCAGAGCACUCUAGUAGCCCUCAACAGAAAGCACUAAGUAUUCAAAUUGAUAAUCAGAGAUUGAACUUUGUGCUCAACCCUUCACCUGGAAUACUAUUCACGCCCUCGACGGCGGUCUACUACGGCCGACCGAACUCUUCUAAAUCCGGUGGAGUCGAAUACGUUCGAAGUGUAGACGAAGUGUAGAUUUGGUGUACCGUUGGAUAUCAGAUGAGUGAAGAUGAAGAUGGAUCGAUUAUGGAGGUAUGUCGCCCAUAUAGAAUUUCCGCAGCACCAGGUACUCCUUGUGAACACAAAGAUGGCGGAAAAGAAGGGUUCUGUUUCUUCAACGAGUGCACGCGUUUCGCAUAAUAAAACAUCGGGAAGACCUGGAUCAACCGGACUUCAUCAUCUGUAACAGUUUUAUGUUUUAUGUCUGCGCGGUUGUAUCAGAGCGUGAUGGUCAAACACCAAAAUU